AAACUCAUAGUUUAAUGAAAACAUAUAAAUUGCACUUAUAAAUUGAUAUCUCUGAGAG
rnacentral:tRNA from 1 species